rnacentral:rRNA from 1 species
UAUUUAUUUUAUUAUAUUUAUUUUUUGUUUAUUUAAUUAUUUAAUAAAAAUAAUUUUGUUGAAUUUUGUCUUAGUAUAUUUUGUAGAAUUGAUUUUUUAUAUUAUAGUUUAUUGGUAAUGUAAUUGUUUUAUGAAAUAUUAUUUUAAAUUUUUAAAAGUAGAUUUUAUUUAUUGUACCUUUUGUAUCAGGGUUUAUCAAAAUUUUAGUAUUUACUUUACUUGUCUCGAUUUGGGUUGAUUUAUAAAUAAUUUAUAGUUAAUGUAUCAUAAUUCUUAUUAAAUUAUUUAUAGAAAUGAGAUGUUAACCGUUUCCCAAGAUAUCUAGUUUCUUAAGAAAAAAUUUAAUUUUUUAAAGUUAAUUGUUUUUAUUUAAUUUUUUAAGUAUAAAUAUUAACUUAUUUAUUCUUUAAGGGAUAAGCUUUGAAGUUAAUAACCUAUAAUUUGUUUUAAUAAAAUAUAAUAGUAAGCUUUAAACCAGCUAUCUUUAAGAUUACGUUUUAGUUCAUUAUUUUUAUUUUUGAUUUUAUAACUAUUUUAGGUUUUUUAUUAAGAUUAUAAAUUUAAUUUUUAAAUUUUUGCAAUAAGUAUAGAAUUAGUAUAUUUAUUUGUAUAUAAUUUUUACCUUGUUAAUUUAUUAUAAGGAACUAGGC